AUACGGAGGGUCCGAGCGUUAUCCGGAAUCAUUGGGUUUAAAGGGUCCGUAGGCGGGCAGCUCAGUCAGUGGUGAAAGUUUGCAGCUCAACUGUAAAAUUGCCAUUGAUACUGGUUGUCUUGAAUUAAUGUGAAGUGGUUAGAAUAAGUAGUGUAGCGGUGAAAUGCAUAGAUAUUACUUAGAAUACCAAUUGCGAAGGCAGAUCACUAACAUUAUAUUGACGCUGAUGGACGAAAGCGUGGGGAGCGAACAGGAUUAGAAACCCUAGUAGUCC
rnacentral:rRNA from 1 species